AACGCACCUUGCGCUCCUUGGUAUUCCGAGGAGCAUGCCUGUUUGAGUGUCAUUAAAUUCUCAACCUCACCCGUUUUCUGAACGGUUCUCCGAGGCUUGGAUGUGGGGGUUUGUGCAGGCUGCCUCAGCGCGGUCCGCUCCCCUGAAAUGCAUUAGCGAGUUCGUACUGAGCUCCGUCUAUUGGUGUGAUAAUUAUCUACGCCGUGGACAGGGUUUAGACUCGCUUCUAACCGUCCGCAAGGACAAUACCUUUGACAAUUUGACCUCAAAUCAGGUAGGACUACCCGCUGAACUUAA
rnacentral:misc_RNA from 1 species